ACAGAGGGACGAGCGAGAGUGCAUGCCCUUUCUCCUUUCUUUCUUCUUGUGCUGCGCUAUAAAUACGGCAUCCAAGAUCACGAAGUUUCAGCAAGCACCAGCCAGCGCAACUCCAACUCACGCGGACAAGCAGCUAGCUAGCUCCUCGCUGCCAGCCAAAGCGCGCGAUGAUGGCGCCCUCCACCAAGACCGCCCGCCUCCUCCUGGUCCUGCAGAUCGCGCUGUUCGUCGUCUCCGCGGUGAUCAUGAGCGGCGGCUCACGUUGCCACGGAGCGCGCACCGUUCCAGAGAUAGGUUACGGUUACGGCGGUUUAAACCCUAACCGACCUGCUUGCAUCGGCGAGAGGUGCCCAGUACGAGGUGGCCCCUACAUCCCUCGUCCCUAUGGGCGCCCGGGAGGUGGCAUCCCAUACUACCGUGGUACACCCGCUCAGCCACCGAACGGAGAGAACCCCUGAAGGAUGAUGGCUGCCCUCGAUCAAGAUCACGUUGUCGUAACGAUAGAGUUGGCACUUGGCAACAACAUACUAGUUACCUAAGAUGUAGCCGCAAUCUAAACGGGCAGCACCGUAUUGUCUCGUGUGCUUGUGUAGUAUGAAUAAAACUGAAGUUCAGAUGGCUGACAGUGCCGCGGCUACGCGGCAUAAAUAUCGGUUUGUGUUCUGUGAAUGUACUAGUACUUCAUUCAUGUUCAGAAUAAAGAUUGGCGGCCGACAGCGAGUAUUACUUCCUCC